rnacentral:lncRNA from 1 species
AAUGCUUCGCACAAAAUACGGUUUGAAGGAACACCUUUCUAAUUCUAUUGCAACAAGUCAAUGGUCACAUUUAUGGCUCUCUCUUUCUAAGAUGUGGCCACUUUUAUGUGAAAACUUAGCUUGGUCUGUGGGUAGUGGCACAAGCAUUUGUUGCUGGAAGAAUUCUUGGAUCCUAGAAAUCAGAUCUCUUCUUUCUUUUGUCCCUGCUCACGUGAAUAUGGAUAUGGAAAGCACCCUUAAAUAUAUGGUCAUGCAUGAUAGAUAUUGGAAUAUAGAUAUAUUUCGUGGUUGGUUACCUGAAGAGUUGAUUCAACAUAUAAUUAGUAUUCCUCCUCCUAUCCCAAUUCGAGAGUAGAUAGGAUAAUUUGGGCUUCUUCAGCUUUAGGUUCCUUUUCAGUUCGAAACGCUUUCUGGUCUUUAAAACAAAAGUCUUGGAAUCCCAAAGACCCAUUUUGGAAGAACAUCUGGAAAUAUCAAG